UAGGGAAUCUUCGGUACUGGGGGCAACCCUGACCGAGCAACGCCGCGUGAGUGAAGAAGGUUUUCGGAUCGUAAAGCUCUGUUGUAAGAGAAGAACGUGUGUGAGAGUGGAAAGUUCACACAGUGACGGUAACUUACCAGAAAGGGACGGCUAACUACGUGCCAGCAGCCGCGGUAAUACGUAGGUACCGAGCGUUUUCCGGAUUUAUUUGGCGUAAAGCGAGCGCAGGCGGUUUAAUAAGUCUGAAGUUAAAGGCAGUGGCUUAACCAUUGUUCGCUUUUGAAACUGUUGAACUUGAGUGCAGAAGGGGAGAGUAGAAUUCCAUGUGUAGCGGUGAAAUGCAUAGAUAUAUGGAGGAACACCGGUGGCGAAAGCGGCACUCUGGUCUGUAACUGACGCUGAGACUCGAAAGCGUGGGGGGCAAACAGG
rnacentral:rRNA from 1 species